GUUAGACGAACGGUCUGGAAAGUCCGACGAUACAGGGUGAUAGUCCCGUAGUUGACGACGUGUGUUCAGUGAAAUCGAGUAGGGCGGGACACGUGAUAUCCUGUCUGAAUAUGGGGGGACCAUCCUCCAAGGCUAAAUACUACUGACUGACCGAUAGUGAACCAGUACCGUGAGGGAAAGGCGAAAAGAACCCCUGUGAGGGGAGUGAAAUAGAACCUGAAACCGUGUACGUACAAGCAGUAGGAGCA
rnacentral:rRNA from 1 species